rnacentral:rRNA from 1 species
UCGAACGGUAGCAGGCCUUCGGGCGCUGACGAGUGGCGGACGGGUGAGUAACGCGUAGGAAUCUACCUCAAAGUGGGGGACAACUUAGGGAAACUUAAGCUAAUACCGCAUACGCCCUACGGGGGAAAGCGGGGGACCUUCGGGCCUCGCGCUAUGAGAUGAGCCUGCGUUGGAUUAGCUAGUUGGUGGGGUAAAGGCCUACCAAGGCGACGAUCCAUAGCUGGUCUGAGAGGACGAUCAGCCACACUGGGACUGAGACACGGCCCAGACUCCUACGGGAGGCAGCAGUGGGGAAUAUUGGACAAUGGGCGGAAGCCUGAUCCAGCAAUACCGCGUGUGUGAAGAAGGCCUGAGGGUUGUAAAGCACUUUCAAUUGGGAGGAAUACCUAUCCAUUAAUACUGGGUAGCUUGACAUUACCUUUAGAAGAAGCACCGGCUAACUCCGUGCCAGCAGCCGCGGUAAUACGGAGGGUGCGAGCGUUAAUCGGAAUUACUGGGCGUAAAGCGUGCGUAGGUGGCCUGUUAAGUCAGAUGUGAAAGCCCCGGGCUUAACCUGGGAACUGCAUUUGAAACUGGCAGGCUAGAGUUUAAUAGAGGGGAGUGGAAUUUCAGGUGUAGCGGUGAAAUGCGUAGAGAUCUGAAGGAACACCAGUGGCGAAGGCGACUCCCUGGAUUAAAACUGACGCUGAGGUACGAAAGCGUGGGUAGCAAACAGGAUUAGAUACCCUGGUAGUCCACGCCGUAAACGAUGUC